rnacentral:rRNA from 1 species
UUUAGUGUCUAUGGCGAUUUGGCACACCUCUUACCAUUCCGAAUAGUGAAGUUAAGCGAACUUGCACAGAUGGUACUGCCCUUUUGAGAGUGAGAGAAUAUGUGGAUGCCACUU